CCCUUAGAUGUUCUGGGCCGCACGCGUGCUACACUGAGUGGAUCAGCGGGUCAGGUUGCGCGAAAGUGUUUCCUAAUCUUGAAAUCCGCUCGUGAUGGGGAUUGACGGUUGCAAUUUUCCGUCAUGAACGAGGAAUACCUUGUAAGCGCGGGUCAUCAUCCCGCGCUGAAUACGUCCCUGCCCUUUGUACACACCGCCCGUCGCUCCUACCGAUUGAAUGUUCCGGUGAGCUCUUCGGACUGCGCGGUCUGCAGUUUCUGCGUUCCGUGCGGAAAGUUGCGCAAACCUUAACAUUUAGAGGAAGGAGAAGUCGUAACA
rnacentral:rRNA from 1 species